rnacentral:rRNA from 1 species
AGGUCUUGACAUCUAGUGCCAACCUAAGAGAUUAGGCGUUCCCUUCGGGGACACUAAGACAGGUGGUGCAUGGCUGUCGUCAGCUCGUGUCGUGAGAUGUUGGGUUAAGUCCCGCAACGAGCGCAACCCUUAUUAUUAGUUGCCAGCAUUAAGUUGGGCACUCUAAUGAGACUGCCGGUGACAAACCGGAGGAAGGUGGGGAUGACGUCAAGUCAUCAUGCCCCUUAUGACCUGGGCUACACACGUGCUACAAUGGGCAGUACAACGAGGAGCGAACUUGUGAAGGCAAGCGAAUCUCUGAAAGCUGUUCUCAGUUCGGACUGUAGGCUGCAACUCGCCUACACGAAGCUGGAAUCGCUAGUAAUCGCGGAUCAGCACGCCGCGGUGAAUACGUUCCCGGGCCUU